AGCGCAGGUGGUUUAUUAAGUCUGGUGUAAAAGGCAGUGGCUCAACCAUUGUAUGCAUUGGAAACUGGUAGACUUGAGUGCAGGAGAGGAGAGUGGAAUUCCAUGUGUAGCGGUGAAAUGCGUAGAUAUAUGGAGGAACACCGGUGGCGAAAGCGGCUCUCUGGCCUGUAACUGACACUGAGGUGCGAAAGCGUGGGGAGCAAACA
rnacentral:rRNA from 1 species